rnacentral:misc_RNA from 1 species
GAAGGCGCUGCUUCAACUUGCAUUGCUUCUGCCUUGGUCUGGCUGAAAGUUUCAGAUGUAGUAGCAUUUGCUUUUUGAGCAUUGGAAGAGGAAGGAGCUUUCUGCGCAUUUGAGACUAUUGCAGGAGUUGCUUUUUGCACUUCUGAAGGACCCACCUCUUCUGCAACCUCCAUUUGGUGUUGACUCGAAGAUGCGCUAGAAGUGGGGGAUGGGGGUUCUUCAGUCUCUGGUUGUGCUGCAGC